rnacentral:rRNA from 1 species
UACAGAGGUCUCAAGCGUUGUUCGGAUUCAUUGGGCGUAAAGGGUGCGUAGGCGGCGCGGUAAGUCGGGUGUGAAAUCUCGGGGCUUAACUCCGAAACUGCAUUCGAUACUGCCGUGCUUGAGGACUGGAGAGGAGACUGGAAUUUACGGUGUAGCGGUGAAAUGCGUAGAUAUCGUAAGGAAGACCAGUGGCGAAGGCGGCUCACUGGCCCGAUACUGACGCUGAUGCACGAAAGCGUGGGGAGCAAACAGG